rnacentral:lncRNA from 1 species
AUGAAGAAGGGGCUCAUAGAGCUGAAAAUCUCUUUGGAACAGCACACUCGAAUCAAGAAGCAAAGAAAUAAACCCAGAUCGAACAAGAGAGAAGAUGUGAAGAUAGAAAACAUGAGGGAAAAAUACCCAAAUUACUUUAUUUGGGGAACCUCAGCUGACUCAGCCGUUUAACCAGCUGCUGUAUCAAACCCCCCAGGACCAUGAUGGCGUUGGUGGUCGCCAGAGGACUUUGAGACAUCCAACGAACACGGGUCAGUUUCUAUGAACAUUACUCAUUUCUGUUCCCUGAUAAUGUCAUGACAGAAAAGCAAUCGAGAUGGUGGGGAAAUAAGAAAAGCAUUGCAGCUCUUUCUCAGGUCUGGCUUUGAAUACAUCAGUGCAAGGAGAAGUGAUGGAUUCAUGCAUUAGUCAGAAAAGUGUCUGUGUUGUCCUGGACCGAGCUCUCAUCUCUAAUGGCUUAUCUGACCAGGCAGCUGCCUGCUCACAACUAUUUGAACAAUGAAC